UCAAUGUGCGGCGAUCGCUUCAUUUUAUUGUAAUUAAAGCGAAGAAAUAAAAGUGCAAAAACUAAUAUUUUAUGUAAAUAAAUUAGCGCUUGCAAAAAUAUAAAUAUGAAUAAAAACCGGACCGGUUUUACUUUGUGCAUUUUUAGUCGGAUGAAAUAUGAACUGGAAAAGUAGCCAAACUGAUUGCGAGAGCGAAUUCGGACAAAAUGCUGUCAAAGGAAACACAUGUGCUUGACAUUUAUAUUAGGUGUACAUUGUCAAAURAUCAAUGCAAAAGGCUUACAAUGGUAAACUGAAAUUUUUAUUUCUACCGUGAAAUCAUCUUCAGCGAUGAAGAACAUUUUUGGCUAAAUGGAUAGCCAACUAAACAUUUUGCCACAUUUGGAGAUCGAGCAACGCUUCAAAUACCCUCAAUACUUCCUUGCCGUCCAUUUAUUAGCAAUACUAGUUCCUUACCACUAAAUACAACACCCUUUAAAUUUCGCUUAAAUCUUCAAAACACAGUACCUAUACAUAAACACAUACAUACUUAUGUACCUCCAAACGUCCAAAAGUACAAGCGGCCGACCGACCUUCCGCCUUAAAAUCGAUUGAAAAACUUCGAAUGAAAACUUUUCUCCUACCCAUCCCUUUUCCGACCAU